GACGUAGGGCGCGAGCGUUGUCCGGAUUUAUUGGGCGUAAAGAGCUCGUAGGCGGCUUGUCGCGUCAACUGUGAAAACCCGUGGCUCAACCAUGUGGUCUGCAGUCGAUACGGGCAGACUUGAGGCAUUCAGGGGAGAACGGAAUUCCUGGUGUAGCGGUGAAAUGCGCAGAUAUCAGGAGGAACACCAGUGGCGAAGGCGACACGCUGGGCCAUACCUGACGCUAAAGCGCGACAGCAUGGGGAGCAAACGGG
rnacentral:rRNA from 1 species